GAUAUCCAAAAUAUAUACUUUGAGUGAUUCUCUCAGUAGUGAUCAUGUCUCUACUUAAGUCUCUAUCUCUCUUCUCAUCAACUCCAAGUUCAUCCUCUUAAUCUACUGCCUACCUUACCUUGUGCUAUGUGGCCAUUGCUUCUUAGCACAAGUAAUAAUUAAAAAAGUAUCUUAUUUUCAUAGACCAGAUAUGUGUGUUGAUGAUAUUAUCUAAGGUGUUUCAAAAAUUCGAAAUAUGGUUAAAUAAAACCCUAGAAUGUGGUUUGGUUCUAUAGUUUAGAUGGUUCAAUUCUCAUUUUAGAAAUAGAAAAUUGAGGAUGUUUGGCUUUGGUAUUUACUCUCUGCUUUAUAUAUUGAAUCUCCAUUAUUCUAUUUUGAGAUGUUUAAGAAUCCAUUUAUCUUUUUUUUCAUAUAUUAUUUAAGUAACAUUCAACCAAAUAAAAAAUUAAAUGUAAUAAUUACUAUGUUAAAAUUAAAAAUUCAGUAAAAAGUAAAUGUUAUGAUUGUGUUUCCUUAAAAAUUAAAUUGAAUUCUCCGAAAAAGACCUUCAAUAUAGGACUAAGUGAAUAUAUAUUAAAACUUGAAUGCUUCGUUACGUUUAUGCUAUGGAAUGUUUAUAUUAUCACCCUCUCGAUAACCAUAGUAAUAUUCUUAUCUCACAUUAUUCUAACGAUGAACACAAAAUAAUAGAGACAAGUUUAGAGACGAUGUAUAGAAUUAAAAGGGUGAGAAAAUUUGCAAUAUUUAGUUAAUUUUUUUAAAUUCAAUUUUACAAAGUUAUUUUUCAAAAUUUAUUUGAUUGACUAUUGAAAACACGCUCUCUAUAAUUUUUUUCAAGAAAAAACUCAAUUUUUAGCAUAAAUUAAAAUAUACCAUAUUUAAACUGUCAAAAACCAUUCCCACUGGAGGAUAAAUAAUAUAUGUUAUCUAACACGUUUUCUCUGUAAUGUUGUCAACAAUAAUAUACGAAAAGACAAAGUAUAUUUAAGAGCCCCCACUAUGCUUGUGUUUCUCUCUCGUCGCAAUAAUUACUUAUUAAAGUACGAGAAAAGACAAAGUACACGUGAGAUAGGAAAACGACUACUCUAACAAUUUAGGUCUCAUUUGGCUGGAGGAUUUGGAGGGGUAUAAUUUUUUUCCCGGAUAACUUUUUUCUCGGAAUGUUUGGCUAGCGGAUAUGCCCCCGGAUAAGUUAUGCCCCCGAAGGUAGAUAAUUUUUGGGUUGCCUAGACCCCUAACUAAAAAUUAUCCGGGGGAUAAGGGAUACCGCCCCCCUCUCUCCCCCGCCCCCCCCUGUCUCCUUUCUCGUCUCCUCUAUCUACAUCUCUCAGCCCUGCCCACUCUUUUUCCUCUAUCCCUCUUUUCUCUUUUCUUUUCUCUCAUUCCUUUUCUUCCUUCCUCCUAACCUACCUUAUCCACUCAUUCUAAAAAAGUAUCCAAAACAAAAGUUAAAAGUUAUCCCAUCCAAAGUUAUCACCUCUAAAAAGUUUCCUCCCCUAAAAAUUAUGCUGCCUCCCUUAUCCUCAGCCAAACGGGCCCUUGGGGUAAGGUAAAUGUUACGUAGUACGUACCCCCACCAAUUGAAAUAACACCGACACCCAUAGUUAUGAAAACGGACGAACCGGCAGGUUCAACCGGUUCAAUCGAAACUGGGCACUAAAUCGGUUCGGACACAACAUUUUAUCGCAUCGGAAAAAUGCAAGCCAACCGGAUUGAACCGGUUUGAAUCGGCCGAUUUUUUUUUUUUAACAGAAAAAAUAAAGUUUUAAUUUUUACAGUUUGACCCAAAAAUUUUAAUUAAAGUUUUACUUUUUACAAUGACCCCAAAAUUUGAAUUAAAUUAUUUUUUUAAUCGUUUUCUAAAUUAAUUUUUACUAUGAAUGGGUAAUAAAAAAAUUUUUUUUUUUUUUAUAAUAAAAAUAUAAUUUUAUUAUAUUAAUUAUAAAUCCGGUUGAACCGUGGUUGUUUGAACCCAAGGGAACCGUGUGAACCAGUAUUUUGACCGGUUCAAUGUCCGGUUCGGUUCUGAUAACUAUGCCGCGACACCCCUUAAUAUCUGAAAAGGGUAAUGCUAUGAGUACAUUCAAUUUACACCCUAAAUGCAUAUUUGAUGAGGUGGAGUAUUUAAAUUGGUUGGGUGUGGGGUCCACACAGUCCUUUCACCCCACACAUAGCCAAUCUAAAUACUUCAUCUCAUCAGGGGUGCAAGUUGGAUGUACCAUAGCAUUUCUCAUAUCUGAAAACGGUAAAUUUUGACUGACCUCGCAUGAUAUUUUUGAAUCAAAAUCCAACACGUGUACAUUAGUCCAAUUCCUAUUUAAUGGGCUAUUGGGGCCAUAGCCCCUGCAUGUUUCCUCUCGCUGCAUCCACAUGGAGACUGAUCUAAUGUCCCUUUCUUAUCUGUCCUUUCUUUCUUUUUUCAUUAAUUCAAAAGAGGUGAUCAGAUGUGGCGCACCCAUUGUAAUACCAUGGGAGCGUCCCUGAGGGCUCACUACAAUCACAUAAUUUUUUUCAAAUUAUGUCUUAUUUAUUUUUGAAAUCACUCAGCCACAAAAUAUGUGGCUGUGGUGAGGCCACGGAGGGCGCUCCCAUGAUAUUAUCACGGACACGCACCUAUCUGAUCACCACUCUUAAUUUAAUGCGAUGCUCGGAAAAGGUACAAUGGAGUCUUACACGAAUCUCGUAAGUGUUUGCAAUAGUUUAUCUCCUUUAAUUCAUAAACCAUAUAUAAUACUUUAUAUACCGAAGGCAUUAUGAAAUCUAAAAUAUUCCUAAAAUUAUAAUUUAGGUUCGAGUCAAAAAAUUCACAACUACGACCUACAAGCUGAUGAGAUACCAACAUACAUACACCACAAUCAUAUGGUCCUCACUGAUCUCUCUUCUCGACGCCUACACAUGCAUUAUAUGCGCAUAAAAUAUUUGAAGUGUUAAACUAAUCCCAUAUCAAAUAGUUUUGGGAAUACUCCACCUCAUGCUAAUGAUCUUUACUUUACAAUAACAAUUUGUACUACUACAAACAAUUCGCCUUGCUAGAUGCAUUAAAUUGAACUUUCAAGUUCCAAAUUUCUAUUUUGGGAAUUAAAAAGCUUUUUUAAUUGUGCUAUCUGAAAUGACCUUUGGUUUUAACACAUGUAAUAAUUAAAAAAUAUCUUAGCUUUAUCGCCAAAUAUGUGUGUUGAUGAUAUUAUCUAGGGGUGUCUGAAAAUUUAAAAAAAAAACGAUAAAUCAGAUCAAACCAAAUUGGAUCGAACCGUAUGGCUGGUGUGGUCCGGUUCUACGAUUUAGAUUGUUUCAAUACUAAUUUUAAAAAAUAUUAAAUUGGUCUAUAUAGUUCAGUCUUAGUUCUUUAUUUCAGAAUUGUGGUUCAAAAUAAACUGGGCCUGUUUUGUUAAGAACAGAGUUCUGUAACUGGAAUUGAUAUUGCUGAUAGCUGGAAGAAGAAAGAAGAAAAUAGAUUUCCCUAUUCGAGCUAGGGAUAAAGCUCUUAAAAGAACCAAGUAAAGACGGAAUUUUUCAUUCCCUUCUGAAUCAAUGUUACAUUCUUUAUAUUGCUGGACGUUUGACAAGAAUUCAAGGAAUGAUAUCUAACAGUUUUAAACACUAACUGAAUUAACCCAUUCUUGAUAUUGCCCAUGCUUCAGUUAUCUGUUAGCAUAGUUAUUUUGCCAUGCUUUACAUCAUGUUCCUGUCUUUUAAGUCUUAAUCUUUCAUUCAUUCUGGCCUUUUGAUACUCCUUCUUGUUCUAUCAUCCGCUACAAAGCUGUUCUCUCCUACUACCACUGCAUUCGUAACAUGUUUACGUACAUACAUAGCGUGUAUGUGUAAGUUAAACCCAUCCUAACCUUCCUAAUUUAUUUUAUAUUGAGGUAUCAUUACUUAUUGUUUGAUGUUGUAUGAAUUUUUUGGGUUUUCGAUUUUUGCGGUUGUUAUGCUUAGUUUUUUCUAAAGUGGAAUGUUGUCAUGUUAUUUUAAAAUGUAGAUAGUUUAGAAUUUAAAUGUCAGGUAUAAAAUUUAGGAUGUUUGCCUGUGGCAUUUAUUCCAUUCGUCUCAUAGAACUUUUGUUAUUUUAGUUUGGAAUGUCCGAAAAUGUAUAUUCAAUUCGACAGUUAAUAACGAAAAUAUACAACUUUUCUCUUUUAGCCUUUUUUUUAUAAAUUAUUUAAGUAAUAUCAACCAAAACAAAAAAUUAAAUGUAAUAAUUACAGGGAUAAAAUUGGAGAGUCAAUAAAAAUUAAAUGUAAUAAUUAUAUUCCCUUAAAAAGGUUAACUCCCCGAAAUCACACUUCCGUUUGAGGUGGACGGAGUAGAUGUUAAAACUUGAAUGUUAUGUUUUGUUUAUACUGUGUUUAUGUUAUCGGUCUUAACAAUGAGGAUGAUAUUUUUGUCACACAUUAAUCUAAUAAUUAAUUCAAAAAAAAUAGAGAAAAGUUUGGGGACCUCGCAUAGAAUUAAAAGUGCGAGAAAAAAAUUGCAAUGUUUAGAGUAAAUUUCAAAAUAGUCCCUAUAAUUUUUUUUAACAUUGAUUUUGGUUCUUAUAUUUUUAAAUCCCAUGAUUUUAACCUUGUAUUUUAAUUUACAUGCCUAAUCAAUUUAAUUGAUAACCAAAGUUAAGUUGUUGGACAUAUUUUCAAUACAUUUUGAACAUAUGACUUCAUUUGAUGGCAAUUUAUAGUUGGAUUUAUCAAAUUAUAAUAGAAUUUAAGCAAUUUACAGUGAGAAUAGGAAAAAAGUUGAUUUUAUCACUCAAAUGAUGGUACAUGUCGGCCAAUAGUGAAAAUUCAUCCAAAAACAUAACAUUCAUGACCAAUUGGCUUAAUUAGGUGAGAAAAUCAAAAUAUAAAAUUAAAACCGCGGAAUUUUAAAAUACAUGGAUCAAAAUCUUGAAUGAAUAAAACUACAAUGACCGUUUUUGAAAUUUAAUCAUAUUUUAAGAUUCAAUUUGACGAAAUGUUUUUUUCAAAAUUUAUUUGGUUGAUGAUUGAGAACAUGCUCUCUAUGAA
rnacentral:lncRNA from 1 species